rnacentral:rRNA from 1 species
GAAUGGAUAAGCGCUGAAAGCAUCUAAGCGCGAAGCCAACUUCAAGAUAAGAUUUCCCACCGCAAGGGUAAGACCCCAGAAAGACUAUCUGGUUGAUAGGUCGAAGGUGUAAGUGCAGCAAUGUAUUUAGCUUAUCGAUACUAAUAGGUCGAGGACUUGACCAA